UACGUAGGGCGCGAGCGUUGUCCGGAAUUAUUGGGCGUAAAGAGCUCGUAGGCGGCCUGUUGCGUCUGCUGUGAAAUCCCGGGGCUUAACCCCGGGCGUGCAGUGGAUACGGGCAGGCUGGAGGCAGGCAGGGGAGAAUGGAAUUCCCGGUGUAGCGGUGAAAUGCGCAGAUAUCGGGAGGAACACCGGUGGCGAAGGCGGGUCUCUGGGCAGUAACUGACGCUGAGGAGCGAAAGCGUGGGGAGCGAACAGG
rnacentral:rRNA from 1 species